rnacentral:rRNA from 1 species
UGCAAGUCGAACGAACUCUGGUAUUGAUUGGUGCUUGCAUCAUGAUUUACAUUUGAGUGAGUGGCGAACUGGUGAGUAACACGUGGGAAACCUGCCCAGAAGCGGGGGAUAACACCUGGAAACAGAUGCUAAUACCGCAUAACAACUUGGACCGCAUGGUCCGAGUUUGAAAGAUGGCUUCGGCUAUCACUUUUGGAUGGUCCCGCGGCGUAUUAGCUAGAUGGUGGGGUAACGGCUCACCAUGGCAAUGAUACGUAGCCGACCUGAGAGGGUAAUCGGCCACAUUGGGACUGAGACACGGCCCAAACUCCUACGGGAGGCAGCAGUAGGGAAUCUUCCACAAUGGACGAAAGUCUGAUGGAGCAACGCCGCGUGAGUGAAGAAGGGUUUCGGCUCGUAAAACUCUGUUGUUAAAGAAGAACAUAUCUGAGAGUAACUGUUCAGGUAUUGACGGUAUUUAACCAGAAAGCCACGGCUAACUACGUGCCAGCAGCCGCGGUAAUACGUAGGUGGCAAGCGUUGUCCGGAUUUAUUGGGCGUAAAGCGAGCGCAGGCGGUUUUUUAAGUCUGAUGUGAAAGCCUUCGGCUCAACCGAAGAAGUGCAUCGGAAACUGGGAAACUUGAGUGCAGAAGAGGACAGUGGAACUCCAUGUGUAGCGGUGAAAUGCGUAGAUAUAUGGAAGAACACCAGUGGCGAAGGCGGCUGUCUGGUCUGUAACUGACGCUGAGGCUCGAAAGUAUGGGUAGCAAACAGGAUUAGAUAC